rnacentral:rRNA from 1 species
GACGAACGCUGGCGGCGUGCUUAACACAUGCAAGUCGAACGGAAAGGCCCUGCUUUUGUGGGGUGCUCGUGUGGCGAACGGGUGAGUAUCACGUGAGUAAACUGCCCUUGUCUUUGGGAUAACUUCAGGGAACUCGGGCUCAUACAGCGUAGGAGAUCCUGCUGCAUGGUGUGGAUUGGAAAGAUUCGGCGUUUCGGGAUGGAAUCGCGGCUUAUCAGCUUGUUGGUGGGGUAGUGGCUUACCAAGGCUUGGAGGGGUAGCCGGCCUGAGGGGGUGACCGGCCACAUUGGGACUGAGAUACGGCCCAGACGCCUACGGGAGGCAGCAGUGGGAAACAUUGCACAAUGGGCCGAAGCCUGAUGCAGCAACGCCGCGUGCGGGAUGACGGCCUUCGGGUUAGAAACCGCUUUAGACUGUGACGAAGCGUGAGUGACGGUAAUGGGUAAAAAAGCAACGGCUAACUACGUG